rnacentral:misc_RNA from 1 species
UUUCCGUAGGUGAACCUGCGGAAGGAUCAUUAUUGUAUAACCGAGUAUCGACGGCCGUCGCUCACUCGACUGGUCGUGCAAGCGCGAGUGCCCUCACACACAUCCUUCUCUCCACUAUGUGCACCACUGCGCGGCUCCGCUAUUCGUUAGCUCGGGGGGGGGUUAACGCUUUUAUACAAUCUUAGUAUGCAGUGUUGUUUGUAUAUUUUGUUUUUGCGUUCGCGUAAAAAACAUAUCUUACAACAACGGAUCUCUUGGCCCUCGCAUCGAAGAAGAACC